CACCUGGGCUGAGUCAGUGCACCCGAACAUGGGCAGCUUCCACAUGGUCCAGUACCUUCCGUCGUAGUAUCCUGGCGAUCUGUUGUGCUCUCUGUGGGGGUAUGGGUACUGCAUUCACAUACAAAAUAAUAAUCCAAUUAUUCUACAAAUUAAACCUCUAUAAUCCUAGUUUAAAAGCUUCACAGAAAAGUUCAUGAAAAUAACCAGCUUGGUGAAUUCCAAGCAAGGAAUCCAUUUCAUGCGGAGAAGGUAAUCCACUUCCUUGCAUAGCUGUUCGUCGUUGAGGGGUGGGAGGUAUGAGAGAGUCUCGAACUUCAUCAACCCUUCUGUAGGCCAAACCUGUGGUUUUCACAUGUACAAUAUCCACAGUUUAAUUCAUCAUAUAUAAAAAAAUAAAAAAUAAAAAAAACCCAGACUACUAAUGUCUUCUAAUUGAAGUGAAGUUGUGACUUGUGAGGCAGGGUGGUGGCAGUACCUUCAUGCAGCGAACUCGGCCACCAUUGCUAGCGACGGAGGUGAUGUCGGUGUUGGCUUUUCGGGUGCCAGGGAAAGUCGACAAAGAUUUGAGUCCGGUGAAGGGGGCCACCAUGUUGGCCUGAGCCGGGGUAGCACGGUUGAUUGUAGCCACGGUGGCGGAGGAGACCAUGGAGGAAGCCAUUUUCGCCUUUUGGGUUUUGCUAACACCACCACUGCCUUGUGAGUUAUGGCUCCUGCUUACCCCAUCCUAUAUAUAAUCCUCCGAGCUUUACUCUCUUCUCUAACUGGCCUCACAUUUGCAUCCAAGGGCUGAGGGUCGAGGGGUCUGGGGUUGGAGGCCUUUGGGCCGUUGGAUGAUACCAGGGGAUGACAUGAAAAUUUCGAUGGCCACAUAUCAGAAUUGGAUGGGUGCCUUAUCGUUAUGGCACCCCUCUCGGAGUGUCGACACGUGUCGACACCUCAUUAACCUUAUCUAACGUUGUGAAGAAGGUGAUUGUGUGAUGUUUUCUGGCCCUUCGUUUCUGGGGUGACUGCCGCUCUUCGCCCAUGGAUAUUUGGAGUUUUGUUCAAUUACCUAAUUGCCCAUCUGGGAUUUUUUUUCAAAUAUUAUUUUUUUAUUAUUAUUAUCAUGUUUUUUUUAAGUGAUGCGAUGAGGUAUGGAGGUACCAUGAUAAGUAAUGGUGUGACUGCAAGCCAUCAGAUCAGAGGGUCCCCCACUUGGAAUAUUGCUCCAAUUCUACGACUAGGUGACUAACACUCAGCAGCCCUUUAAGCGGAGGAAGAAAUGUGACAGUUUCUAUAAGUGGAGGAAGUCUGAAUUCUGAAAGGCAUCGAUAAGGCCUUAAAACGUAUCUAUUGAAGGCAUAAAUCACUAUGUUCUCUUUUGGCUUACCCCAAAAAAAAACACACAUUCCCUGAUUCAUGUAUUCUUACUUCUCAAAGUCCUCAUUUUGGACUAUUUUACAGGCUUUCUUCCUAGAAUUUCAAAUUCAAAUUCAAAUUCAAAUUCAAGAUCAUAAAGAAGCCUCCACCACUCAAGGUUUAUCUUCUCUCCUAAAGGGAGAUGAUAUUUUGCCAUACAAAGGUUUCAGGACCUCCAAAAGAAAACGGUACUAAUUUUGUGUAAUUUCAGUAUGCUUAUGAGUUACGACUCAACUCAAGUCCCGGUUGGUGAGCAUCACUUCUAAAAAUGUAGUGUUGGGUCAAUUUGUUAGGUGGACCAUCACUUCUCCACAGAAACUUCUAGCUCUUCUCUGCACUUGUGGCCUCUAUUCUUUCAUAUAAGAUGUAAAUAUUCUCACUAAAUAAACCCAAAAGAAAAAAGAGAGAAAAAAGAUUGGUGGAGGUUGUUUUGGAGGAGGGAUCCCUGUGAUCCACAUGUAACAAUCAAGGUUUCCAUUCAAGUUGAUGGAUAGGCCUGUGUGCUAUAACAAAAUCUUGUGCAACUCCACCACAAAUUCUCCAAAUCAAAUCCCACUGUCAAGCCAAGCAACAUGCUCCAGAAAGCGAAUUCUGAAACCUUUUCUAGAUCAGUGACAACAGAUGUGUUUGUGUUUCUUGUUUCAAUGGAGAAGCCAAAGCCUCUUUAAGACGUAUUAGUGCUGUGACAGGAAAAAUAAACUCAUGUUUUGAUCUUGUAGAAGAGAUUGAAAAUGCAUGAUGUAUUGUUUAUAAUGCUGGUGUAAAUAAUGAAACUGUUAGAAAGGGAUUGUAGGGAAAUUGCUUGUGUUGAAGAUGAUCCUUUGAAAUCAUAGUUUCUGCCUUACCUUCAGCUUCAGGCUAAACCCACAGGCAAAAAUGGCAAGAGGAACCUUCUAACACUCAUUUUCUCCCAUCUGCAUUGGGAGGGUAAUACCAAAAACUAAUUUAUGCGGAUUAAGACUGAUUGCGAGAGGAAUAUGACAUUCAACAGGGAAUACAAAAAUCAUAAACUGAAAAGUUUGUUUAUUAAAUCCAAUUAAAUAUGACAUUGCCCACCACGAAAAGCAGUGGAAUACGAAGAAUGACUUCCAAUAGAGGAGCUUCUGUACAGUUAUAAGCAGGAAAAAAAGAAAGAAAAGAGAAAAGAAUUACAUGGAAGUAGUGAAGUACAAACUGCAUAACCAGGAAAAAAUAUGCAACUGACUUCCUUCUAAUUUACUGCCAUCGCCUAGGAGGCUUGGUGAAAGUAGAGCUUCCAGUGCCACUGAUAGUAGCACUUCUUCUCAUUCCUGAGAAGAGCAGUUACAGGGAAAGAUAAGAGAUUGAAGGAAUAUUAUUAGCAAGUAGCAAUUGAUCCCAAAAACUCUAAUAUUUUACAUACCUGUUGCCGCCUUUGGAGAAUCCUUAAGAUGUGAUGGUGGAGGAGAUGAAGUUCG
rnacentral:lncRNA from 1 species